GUCUCACAUGACAGAGAGCAGAUGUGUAAGCCCCAUCCUUUAGCAGAUCAAGCCCGGGGAAGGUGUCAGCCUCCCCACCUCCGAAGCUCUGGGGCUGUGGGAGACUGUCAGGCACAGCCUCAGAGGGAAUAAGGCCCUGGGUGUCUCAUGAAAACCUUGCCAGCUCUCGGUUAAGGAGAGGACUCAGGGGCAGUCUGGCUCCCCAGCCACCGCAGGAGAUGGCCUCUCCUUGGAAGACAUUUUAAGCGGCUGAAUUUUCACCACAGAACAUGCUGAUAAAGGGAUUGGAGUGGCUUACUAAAUUCAUGCUUCCUUACACCCAAGUGUGUUCUCUGCACUCUGUUCCCAGGGCAUUUUUAAGCAUUUUUUUUCUCGUUCUCUUUGAAAAAGGGUGAAUGGUGUGUGCUAACUGCAAGGAAGGUACCAGAGCCUCAGCAAAGCGCGUGCAGAGGGCACAUAAAAUACCUGAUAGGAGCAUAUGUAUAAGAGCAGAUGCUAAACAAUGACAAAUGGAACGUGGACAAGCAGAAAAACUUGGAGAGAUUAUGAAUGUGGAUAGGGCAGAAAGAACUUUAAAAGUUCUUCCCAGUAGGGUGGUCAGGCCCUGGAAGAGAUGGGCAGGGUUGCUGUGGCGUUUCCCGGAGAUACGACCUUGAGCGACCCGAUCUACUUGUGAAGCUCCACUUGGAGGAGGACACUGCACUGAGUGACCUCCGGAGACCCCUUCCAAACUCAUAUCUUCAACAGUCGUCUGGUUCAGAAAAAAAAAAAAAAGAAAAAAGAAAAAAAAAGUAUCAAGGAGAAACAAGCAAAUCAGAAGGAGAUCCCUCUGAUGCUGUAACCGGACUCCCCACAAACCAAUUUUGAGCGGGGACAUGGAAAAGGAGGCAUGGGCUAGGAUUUGGAAAGCAUUUGACAACAUGGAAAAACAGAACACAGGGGAAAUAAAGGCAUAGGGAAUGCAAAUGACCAGUUAAUCAGCUGAGGAACUAGUAAAUUAACCCAGUAUCCUGGAUUACAAACAAGACGUCAAGCAGUGGAUCACACUCUCAAAGAUCAGGGAGGCUUCAAUUUCUGUAGCACACCGAGUGUGAAACACUUAAAAAAACUUAAGAAGUUCUUAAGAAGAAGUGCCAGAGUUAUUAAUACUAAUGUUGGAUAGGCCGAAAGCAGAAAUGCAAUCUCCAUAAAUGCUAAGUUAGAAAGAGGUGAGGAUGAAUAUCAGACCUCUGGAAGACAUCUGGAAGCAAGCUGUGAGUUGUAGUCAAAGCUAAAUAAAGUAACUGAGAAAAAAGUGGUGGAAUGGUUUAUUUCUGAAUGUUUGGUUUCUGGGAUAGAUUGUCACAUGAACAGACAUUUUAAGGAUGUCCUCUGUGCUCAGGACAGGUUAUUUUUCACAUUUACGUGGGCAUGAUAAGGAGUCCCAGAAGGCCAAUUUUAAAUGAGAGCUGCUCUGAAAGUAAUGCUUCCUAUUUUAU
rnacentral:lncRNA from 1 species